ACGACGCUGGCGGCGUGCUUAAACACAUGCAAGUCGAACGGAGCACCCUUGAUUGAGGUUUCGGCCAAAUGAUAGGAAUGCUUAGUGGCGGACUGGUGAGUAACGCGUGAGGAACCUGCCUUUCAGAGGGGGACAACAGUUGGAAACGACUGCUAAUACCGCAUGACGCAUUUUGAUCGCAUGGUCGAAAUGCCAAAGAUUUAUCGCUGAAAGAUGGCCUCGCGUCUGAUUAGAUAGUUGGUGAGGUAACGGCUCACCAAGUCGACGAUCGGUAGCCGGACUGAGAGGUUGAACGGCCACAUUGGGACUGAGACACGGCCCAGACUCCUACGGGAGGCAGCAGUGGGGAAUAUUGCACAAUGGGCGAAAGCCUGAUGCAGCAACGCCGCGUGAGGGAAGACGGUUUUCGGAUUGUAAACCUCUGUUUUCGGUGACGAACAAAUGACGGUAACCGAGUAGGAAGCCACGGCUAACUACGUG
rnacentral:rRNA from 1 species